AGGGGCAUGGUUCAAGUGGUAGAAUAUUUGCCUAGUAAGUGAGAUGCCCUGAGAGUUCAAACUCAGACUGCCCCUA
rnacentral:tRNA from 1 species